UAAUUCGUGUACCUUAUUCUGAGAGCGAACAACAUGUGUAACAACCGUGUUCAAGAAAAACGAAAUGAAAUCGCUGUAUUGACCAUUAAGUGACGUUGACGGUAUGCUGGCGUUUAGCCCGGCUAUGGCUCGUCGGAUUGGGGGUUGGUUCUGCCACUUGCAGAUCUUUUCGGUUGUACAAACAAAAAAAAUCAUACCGGACUUCAAACUAAAUUAAAAAAGGGGGCUUAAUGGCGGGCACCCAGAGUGUGGAACAUUGACGGCAACUUGUGACUAAGGCUUUUUCCCAAAACGUAAGUAUGUAUGAAUUAGUUUGUGUUUCAGCUUUUUAAUUAUAUUCCUUGGUCAGAAUGUAAAUAAUUUUUCUUUGCUUUCAAUUCCAGAUGAGGACGAACAAAGGAAUGUAGGUCGAUACCACAUUAAAUCGACAAUCCAACUAAUGCCUGGUAACCUAACCUUGAAUUGAACUCAGUUCAAUGUCGCGUACCUGCAUACCAACACAAAUCGUCCGUCUGUCUGUCCGGAGUUCAAUAAGUAGCAGUGUCAAUUGGGAAUGAUACCAAAACACGCUGGAGCAGCAAUGGCGUAAACUCUGCGCCUACCUCGGUGGAUUGGACGGGCGAUGGUGUGGCUCGUUGCUCAUGGUCUGGAUAUUGUUUUUCAGUUGAUUUUUCUUUAGUUUUAGUAUUAGACUAAGAUUUUAGUUUAAAACUGUAUUCAAAAUCUUCCCAAAAAAUAUUUGAUUUAUUUAUAUUAGUUUAUAAUUUUUAGCCUUUAAGUCCUAAAAAUUGAAUUUCAAUGUUUAAGGCUUAAUAUUUAGAUUAAAGACGCUUGUAUUUUGUGUUGU